rnacentral:rRNA from 1 species
UACAGAGGUCUCGAGCGUUGUUCGGAUUCAUUGGGCGUAAAGGGCGCGUAGGCGGCGGGGUAAGUCUGGUGUGAAAUCUCGGAGCUCAACUCUGAAAUUGCACUGGAUACUGCUCUGCUAGAGGGCUGGAGAGGAGAUCGGAAUUCACGGUGUAGCAGUGAAAUGCGUAGAUAUCGUGAGGAAGACCAGUGGCGAAGGCGGAUCUCUGGACAGCUCCUGACGCUGAGGCGCGAAGGCUAGGGGAGCAAACGGG